GGCUUGCAGACGCCAACAACUACCUCGUUGUCGUCGAAAACACUACCUGAACUGGAAGGAUCAACACUUAGGAGCAGAACCUGCUAUGCCUGAAUCUGCACACACGGUGCAGGGAGUAAUGUGAAUGCUCUGACCUAGUGAGUAAUAAACAUAAAUAUUGACCGAAGAUAAGAAAUCACAUAAAGCACAAGGCACACUAUAAUGAAGCAGUAAAAUAUCAUUUGAAAAAAGUAAAUCUGUGUAAAAUCCAUUUAGAUCUCUUUCAACGGAUAAAAAAGGUAAAUAAUAUAAAGAAAAUAGAUAGAAGUUCACCCCUAGGGCUUACUAACCACAAAUACGCCCCUCGGGCAAUAUCUCAGAUAAAGCCAGCCCCUCAGGCUCAAUCUCAGGAUAAUACCAGCCCCUCGGGCUCAAUCUCACAUCGCAAUGGGUACACGUGCUUACUGGGGGUGUACAAACUCUGGGAGGGGCCCCUUACGGCCCAAGUGCAAUCACAAGCCACCUCGCGACAUAAAAUCUAGGCCUUCGGCCUCAUGUCAAUCAAGCCACUUCAUGGAAUAUAUGUAACUCAGGCCCUCGGCCUCAUAUCAGUAUCAGUGUAUCCUCACAACUAGGUCAUCGGCCUUACUCAGUCCAAAAAUCAUCACAAGCCCCUCAGACAUUUGUAAAACAAUAUUUCUCAGCCCAAACAUCAUUUAAAAUAUCACUUAAGUCUGAAAACUGAGUAAAAAUGGUUGAGUAGUAAAACAAUAGAAAAUAAUAUGGCUGAGUUCAAAUAAUAAGUCUAAAAUAGUGAGAAAAUAGUGAUAAAAAUCCCUAAAAGGUUCAAUAGUUGGCAUGAUGCCCUAAUAUGAUAAUCAUGCCAAAUUGUAAUGAUAACAAAUAAGUUUCAAGAAAAUACGCGGUAAAAUCAUCAAUCAGGAUGGACCAAGUCACAAUCCCUAAUAGUGCACGACCUUACGCUCGCCAACCAGCAUGCUUCUCACCUCAAUAUAGCACUACGAUGUGCAAAUACGGAGUUUCAAACCCUCAGAGCAUCAUUUACAACCACUACAUACCUCGAACCGGCUAAUUAUCUAGCUCGCGACGCCUUUGUCCCAUGAAUCGGCCUCCACACACGUCGAAUCUAUCCAAAAUCAGAAUAAACACGUCACAAUAUACUAAGGGAACAAAGACCAAGCGAAAACAAUCGAAAAAUACCAAAAAUCUCAAAAUUAGCAAAACCCGAGCCAUGUCCACUUCUCGAAACUCAUAAAUUUUUACAUCAACGGGUUCUAUCUCCCCACUAGUUCAUACAUACCAAAAGUUCUCAAAUCCGACCUUAAUUGGUCCUCCAAAUCCCCAAAUCAAAUUAAAAAAUCCUAAGCCCUAGUAGAUUUCACAAUAGAAAUGAAUUUUAAGCUCAAAAAUAUUACCUUCAAUCAUUUCCCGUUGAAUCCCUCUUUUAAUCUCCCCUGAGAAGUUCUCAAAAUGAUUAACAAUGAGUGAAAAUAGACCCAAAAUUGCGGAUGAAAUGAAGUUAUAACAUUCUGUCCAGUUCUAACUCCUCCUUCUUCACGAACGUGGUCAAACUCUCGCGUUCGUGAAGCACAACUCGUGUUUGUCCAAAAUUUGCCUUACGCGAAUGUGUCAUACUAGACGAGAAUGCAAUGCACAUUCCACCCACACCUUCGCAAAUGCGAACGCGGUGGAUAAUUACAUUCACUUUAUCUAAGUCAUCCUGAACCAAAAUAUGUCCUCAAUAGCCUGGCCUUACCGGGCUUGUACCAACCAAUCAUAGAUCUACACCGUCUCCCAUAUAAGGCCUCAUAUUGAGCCAUCUGAAUACUCGUCUGGUAUCUGUUGUUAUAAGCAAACUCUGCGAGCUGUAGGAACUGAUCCCAUGGCCCUCCAAAGUCAAUAACAUAAGCAAGCAACAUGUUCUCCAAUAUAUGAAUAGUAUGCUCGGACUGCCCGUCCGUCUAUGGAUGAAAAGUUGUGCUCAAUUGCACCUGAGUACCCAACUCGCGCUGAAUAUACUUCCAAAACUGGGAACUAAACUGAUUGUCCCGAUCUGAAAUGAUGGAAACUGCGACACCAUGCAACCAAACAAUCUCCCUAACAUAUAUCUCAGCCAACCACUCUGAACAAUAAGUAGAACAAAUAGGAAUAAAAUGCACAGACUUGGUUAGUCUAUCCACAAUAACCCAUAUAGCGUCAAAAUUUUUCAAAGUCACAGGAAGUCCAAUAACAAAAUCCAUAGUGAUCCUCUCCCACUUCCACUCGGGAAUAACCAUCUACUGAAGCAAGCCGCACGAUCUCUGAUGCGCAUAUUUCACCUGCUGAAAAUUGAGACAACUAGCUAUAAACCCCACGAUGUCCUUCUUCAUUCUCUGCUACCAGUAAUGCUGCCUAAGGUCCUGAUACAUCUUUGCGGCUCCUGGGUGAAUAGAAUACUGUGAGCUAUGGGCCUCUUACAGAAUCAACUCCUGAAGCCCAUCUACAUUGGGCACACAAAUCUGGCCCCGCAUCCUCAACACUCCAUCAUCACCAAUGGUAACAUCUCUAGCAUCAUCACGCUGAACUCUAUCCCCAAGGACAAGAAAAUACGAAUCAUCAUACUGGCGCUCUCUGAUGCGAUCAUAUAAAGAAGGCCGAGAUACCACACAAGCCAAUACCCGACUGGGCUAAGAAAUAUACAACCUCAUGAACCGAUUGUCCAACUCCUGAACAUCAACAGCAAGAGGUCUCUCCCCAACUGAAAUAUAUGCCAAAAAGCUCCCCAUACUCACUGCCUUCCAGUUCAAAGCAUCGGCCACCACAUUGGCCUUUCUUGGAUGGUACAAUAUAGUGAUAUCAUAAUCCUUACGCAACUCCAACCAUCUCCGCUACCUCAAAUUAAGAUCCUUCUGCUUGAACAAAUGCUGAAUACUGCGAUGCUCAGUGAAUUCCUCACAAGACAUGCCAUAUAAAUAAUGCCUCCAAAUCUUCAAUGAGUGAACUAUGGAAGCCAACUUUAAAUCAUGAAUAGGGUAGUUCUUCUCAUGGAGCUUCAACUGACGAGAAACAUAUGCAAUAAGUCCACCCUCAUGCAUCAACAUACAACCAAUCCCUACUCUCGAAGCAUCACAAUACAUUGUAUAUGAACAUGAAGCUAAUGGCAAAACCAACACUGGAGUUGUGGUCAAAGUUGUCUUGAGCUUCUGAAAGCUCUCCUCACACUCGUCAUACCAUACAAAUGGAACACCCUUCUGAGUUAACUUGGUCAAGGGCGAUGUGAUAGAUGAGAAUCCCUGAACAAACCGGAAAUACUAGCCUGCCAAACCUAGAAAACUAUGAAUCUCAGUAGUUGAGAACGGUCUGGGCCAACUCUACACCGACUCUGUCUUCUUUGGAUCAAUCUGAAUCCCCUCACUGGACACCACGUGUCCCAAGAAUGUCACUGACCUGAGCCAAAACUCACACUUGGAGAAAUUUGCAUAAAGCUUCUCCUCCCCCAAUCUCUGCAGCACAACCCUCAAAUGCUCUGUGUGCUCCUCUUGACUACGCGAAUAUACUAGGAUAUAAUCAAUGAAAACUAUAACAAUGAGUCAAUAUAAGGCCGGAACAUGCUAUUCAUCAGAUUCAUGAACAUUGCUGGGGCAUUGGUCAGCCCAAAAGACAUAACCAGAAACUCCUAAUUACCAUAUCUGGUCCUGGAGGCUAUCUUAAGAAUAUUCGAAUCCCUAAUCUUCAACUGGUGAUAGCCUGAACGGAGAUAAAUCUUGGAGAACACCCUCGCUCCCUGAAGCUGGUUGCGUAGAUCAUCAAUGCGAGGCAAGGGAUACUUGUUCUUAAUUAUUACUUUAUUCAAUUGCCUACAAUCAAUGCACAUUCUCAUUGUGCCAUCAUUCUUCUUCAUAAACAAAAUCAGCGCACCCCAAGGUGACUCGCUAGGCCAAAUGAACUCCUUAUGCAGCAGCUCCUAAACCUGCUCAUUAAACCCAUUCAACUCCGCUGGUGCCAUACGAUACGAUGGAAUAGAAAUAGGAUGAGUGCCCGACACCAGGUCAAUACCAAAAUCAAUAUCCCUGUCCGGUGGCAUGCCCGACAGGUUUGCAGGAAAUACAUCAGGGAAGUCCCUCACAAUUGAAACAGAAUCAAUACUAGGAGCCUCGGCUCCGACAUCCCUCACUAAGGCAAGAUACGAGAGACAACCCUUCCCAAUUAUAUGCUGGGCUUUCAUGAAAGAGAUCACUCGAUUAGGAACAUAAUCAAUUACACCACGCCACUCGAUUCGCGACAAACCCGGUAUAGCCAGAGUGACUGCUUUAGCAUGACAAUAUAGAAUAGCGACACAGAGACAACCAAUCCAUACCCAAAAUGACAUCAAACUCCGCCAUACUUAGUAAUAAAAGAACAACUUGGGUAUCCAGAACCCCAAUAGUCACCACACAAAAUCAGUACACACGGUCUACAAUAGUAUCGCCCACCGGGGUAGAUACAUGAACAUGUAAGGCAAGAAUCUCACUGGGCAUACCCAAAAAAUGGGCAAAAUAUGACGACACAUAAGAAAAGGUGGAUUCGGGAUAAAAUAAUACAGUCAUCUUUUACAAUCAUUACUAACUCAAAUCGGCUAAAUCUUUGGCACGCGACGCCUUUGCCCCUCGAAUCGGCCUCAACACGCAUCGAAUCUAUCCAAAAUUAGAACGAAUAUGUCAAAAUAUGCUAAGGGAACAACGCCCAAGCGAAAACAAUCGAAAAAUACUAAAAAUCUCAAAAUUAGCAAAACCUGAGCCCCAGACCUACUUCUCGAAACUCAUAAAUUUUUACGUCAAUGGUUUCAUUUUUUCCCCACGAGUUCAUACUUACCAAAAGUUCUCAAAUCCAACCCAAAUUGGUCCUCAAAUCUCCAAAUCAAAUUUCAAAAUCCCAAGCACUAGUUCUUCCAUUUUAGCUUAGGUUCCAUAAUUUUCUAGGCAGAUUUUACAAUAGAAACGAGUUUUAAGCUUAAAAAUCUUACCUCCAAUCAUUUCCUCUUGAAUCCCUCUUUAAUCUCCCCUUAGAAGCUCUAAAAAUGAUCAACAAUGGGUGAAAAUAGACCCAAAAUCGCUGAUGAAAUGAAGUUAUAAAAUUCUGCAUAGGUCUGACUCCUCCUUUUGAGCGAACGUGGUCAAACUCUCACGUUCGCGAAGCACAACUCGCGUUUGACCAAAAUUUCCUUACGCGAACGUCACAUGCCAUAUGCGAACGCGGUGCACAUUCUACCCACACCUUCACAAACGCGAAUGCUCUUAUGCGAACGCGAUGAACAAUUACUUUGGACCUAUCAGACCCACUGCUUGCUACGCGAUCACGAACAUCUUACCACAAACGCAGUGAACAUUUUCUCGAACCCUUCAUGAACGCGACACAUGUCUUGCGAACGCGAAAGCCAAACCUUUACCUCCCCCAGCAGACUCUUCGCAAACGCUAAGGUCCUCCCGCAAACGCCAAGACCAAAUAUCAGCAACUGCUGGAAUUGAUUUUCUGCAAUUUUCUCAAACUCCAAAAUGGUCCCAUUGACCGCCCGAAACUCACCCGAGGCCACCAGGACCUCAACCAAAAGCACCACACUUCCUAAAACCUCAUUCAAAGUUGUUCCAAUCAUUAAAACACCUCAAACAACAUCAAAUCCCUCAAAACACAUCGGAUUCAAGCCUAAGUUUUCAAACAUUCGAAAUACGAUUUCGAUAAAAAUCCCAACCAAACCACGUCCGAAUGACCUAAAACUUUUCAUACACAUCCAAAAUGACAUUACGAAGCCAUUCAAACUUUCGAAUUUCUAUUCCAACACUCGGAUCAAAAUCUCACCUACCAACCAAAAAUCACCAAAAUAUCAAUUUCUCCAAUUCUAGCCUAAUUCUAUUCUGGAUCUCCAAAACCCAUUCCGAUCACACUCCUAAUUCACAAAUCCCUUCGUGAAGCUAACCAAACCAUCGGAACUCACAUUCGAUCCCUCUAACACAUAAGACAACAUUCGAUUGACUUUUUCCACUUAAACCUUCUUAAAAGAGUCUAAGUAUCUCAUUUCUUGCCAAAUCUUCUCCGAACCUAAAAUAAUCAGCCAAAUCACACAAAACACGGAUAAUGAAGCAUAAAGAAGAAGAAAUAUAAGAAAUAGAGCGGUGACUCAUGAGAUGAUGUGACGACCCGGCCGGCCAUCUUAAGAAUUAACGCCCCAAUCCCUUAUUAACUGCUUUCCCCAAGUCUAUAUAUGCUAAUUUGAAUUGUCCAGAUGUUUGAUUUUAUGUUUCGGAGAGUUUUGAGAUACUUAGUCUCUAAAUGAGAGCUUAACUAUUGUAAAGUUGCCAGUAGUUAGAACAGUAUAAAGACGGCCUCGAAAUGGAAAUCUGAUGGUUCCGUUAGCUCUGUUCUAAAUGUAUUUUGGAAGUCUGUAGCUAAUUUAGGCUUGUAAUGCCGAAGUUUAAAUUUGUGAACUAUCCGGUCCAAUAGUGAGUUUUUGAUCCGAGGGUCGGAAUAGAAUUUCGGAAGUUACAGUAGCUUUUUUCAUGUCAUUUGGGAUGUGUAUAAAAAAUUUCAGGUUAUUCGGAUGUAUUUUGGUGAGGUUUUUGAUCGAAAGCGUGUUAUGAUGAAAUUUGAAGUUCUUAGGCUCAAAUCCUUGAUUAAUUCGAGUUUCCGGCAUUGUUUUAGGUGGUUUAAGAGUUGGUGCAAGUUUGAAUAAUGCUAUGGGAUAUGUAUGUAGGUUUGAUUGAGGUCUCCGGGACCUCGGCUGUGUUUCGGAUGCUCAACGGAGCAUUUUGGAGUUAUGAGAAAUUGCAGAAAUUCUCUUCAGCUGUUGCAGACCAUUUUCUUCUUCGGGAUCGCGUCCCUGCUCAUGUGAUCACAUAUAGAAAUUUGGAGGGUGGCCCAAUUCCUUCAAAGUGAUUGCAUGGAUUGAUUCACGAUCGCGUAGCUCUGCCCUUUGUUUUCUUCUUUGCGAUCGCGUCCCAGCUCACGCAAUUGCAUAAAGCAAUCUGGAGGGGGCCCCAAUUCCUUAAAUUCGAUCUCAUGGAUUGAUUCGCGAUCGCGUAGCUCUACCCUUUUUUCUUCCACGAUCGCAAGCCUUUUCACGCGUUCACAUAGGCUUUUUUUCAUGGAGCCUUUUUUUCACUUUACGCGAUUGUGUCCCCACUUUCGCGAUCGCGAUUCAUUAAACACUUGGGCAGUAUUAAAUAAUCAAAAUUUGAGGGUUAGUUAUUUUUAUCAAAACACAAACUUAGGAGCUCGAAUUUGGGUGAAAUUUCGAAGGUUUUUUGAGGGCAACAAUUGAGUAACGUUUCUAUACUCUCUUAUGCUUAAAACCCACCAAUCAAAUCACGAAUUCAUCCUUAAUUUGAAUUUUUGAAUAAAAAAUGGGUAAAACUUUAUAGACCAAAGUACUGAGUUUUAAGUGGGUGUUUGACCUCCGAUUUGGGAGAUUUUUAUUUGGUUAGACUCGUGAGGGUACGAGGGUUCUGAAAAUGUUAAAAUUAUCCGAUUCUGAGACGUUGGCCUGAUGGGCAUUUUGAUUAUUUUACCUAAUUUUGCGUCUUAGCUUUAAAUUAAAUAGUAGAAUCAGUUACUUGAGAUGUUAUUUACGAGAUGUAAUUAAAUUGAAUAGAUUUGGGCCAUUUAGAGUCGGAUAGUCGUGGUAAAAGUGUGAUUUCGAGUUGAUUUUGGAGCCGGUUCGAGGUAAGUGGCUUGUCUAACCUUUUGGUAAUUGAGAUGAAUAGAUUUGGGCCAUUUGGAGUCAGAUACUCGUGGCAAACGUGUGGUUUCAAGUUGAAUUAGAGCCGAUUUGAGGUAAGUGGCUUGUCUAACCUUUUGUGGGGUACCUUUCCCCUAGGAUAUGUUAUUUGGUAAUUGAGUGCCUUGUACGUGAGGUGACGAGCGCGUUGUUGAGCUAAUCGUUGAAAAUCUGAUUUUUACUUAAGAUAUUGGGACUGCGUUUCUUUCAUAUUUGCUUUAUUUUACUUGCAAUUAUAACCUGUAUUAGAUUAGAAAGACAUGUUUAGUCGAUUUAACUUACCUACUUGCUUAAGUUGCCUUGACUGUAUUACAUGAAGCGUGUUAGGCUAGUACUACCUGUUGCUUGUCUUUUUAUACUUCGUUUCUGAUUAUCUUUUGGUUGUGGUUGCGCAUUUACAUUGGAACUACGGAUGUGGGAUACCGGCAGCUCCCUCACUUGUUUGUUUACUUUGAGACUACGGGUUAGAUUUCCGGUAGAUCCCCAUGCACAUUUAUUUUGGACUAGGAGAUAGUAUCCUAGGAGAUGCUUCGGAUACACUUAUGUGAUGGACUAUGGGACGGUAUCCCGGGAGCUCCUCGAAAGGUUGAUGGAAUGGACCACAGGACGAUAUCCUGGGAGAUCCUCAUUUGGCAUUUUUGUAUUGAGCAGUACAUCCCUCUGUUUACCCUAUUCAUCGCUUAAUUGUAAUUGCCUCGCAAACUGUAUCUUAUUUCACUGUUGGUUCACAUUAUUUUUUUUUAUCUAAUUUCAUAAUGUACAUUCUUAUUAUGUUGUUUAAUCUCAGUAGGGCCCUGACCUUCUUCGUCACUACCCGACCGAUGUUAGCUUGACACUUACUGAGUACCGUUCUGGUAUAAUCGUGGCUCUUCUGUGCAUGUUUUUCAUGUGCAGAUCCAGGUACUUCUGCUCAAGUACACUAUUCUCGAGGCGGAGACGUCUAGAAGAGAAUUCGAGGUACAUUUUCCCCGUCCCCAGACCAGGAGUCUCUGUCUUAUUCAAGCAUUUAGUAGAUAGCUUUUCCCUUCUUUCAGUUGCUUAGACAUUCUGAAGUUAGAGCAGUAUGUUACGUUUCUAUUAGCAUGUGUUGCCCGUGAGUUUCCGGGUUUUGGGAUAUUGUUAUAGGUUUUGUGAUAUUGUAUACUUUUGCAUUAUUGAGUUGCAUACGCCAAGCGGCAUUUAUAUACAGUUUCUCUUUUAUUUGUUCAGUAUUAUUAAUUAUUCCACAAGUUAUGUUAUUUUCUGCAUUGUUAGGCUUACCUAGUUAUAGGGACAAAGUGCCAUCACACCAUGUUCACGGGGGAUGUGGGAAGGCGGAGGGAAGGGGUGGGGGUGAACUGGGGUCAUGACAGACGACUAGCCGGGUCAUCACAAAGGGAGUUUUUUUUAAUUAAAGUGACAAUAAUUGAAACAAGAUUAUUUAUUCAAAUUUAGAGUCGCCACUUAGGAUAAUUUAUGGUGUCCCAAGUCACCGGUUUCAAAACCAAAAUCAAUAAAGUUUGACUCUGUUUUAUAGUCCGCGAAACAUAUAAAUCCGGGUAAGGUAUUGUGUUAACUCGGCAGAAGAUGUUAGGUAUUUCCGGAUUUUAUGAUUUUAGCACGAUUGCUCAACUAUUAGUAAUUGGCCUAAUUAUAUGACUAAUUACAUGUUUAGAACCUAUUGCAUUUUUAACCUUUAAAUGCUUUUAGUAUUUAUGGAAUUAUUUUUGGAACAAGUCACGAUGUCGUGCACUUGUUUGUUUUGUACACAUUGUGAAUCACGUCAUAGGAACUGUACCCACAACUAUAGCAUGUUUAAUUUUAUUAUUGUUUGAAGUUAUAGUCGGGUCACAUGAGAUGUGCACCUGAAUUAGGGAGUAUGUAUCAUGACAAUACCAAAGGAACCGUAUUUAUAAUCAUGAUAAUUACGCGCCGAAAAUUUUUCUAACCACGUAAUCGGCCUAAACAUACUCCUAUCGAUUAAAAUAGUAAAGUAAAUAAUUGACAUGAAAAAUUUGGCUUUUCAUCCUUAACGCCCAACCCUACGACCAUCACAUAGACCAUUAACUGUGUUUCCCUAAUACCUAAAUAAAUUUACUAAAAAGAAAACUAAUUAAAUGUAGUGAUAGAAAACAUAACACCUAAGAAGACCAUUGCCUUGAAAUUCUACAAAAUCAUGGAAAAGAUAAAGAAAGAAAAGGUAAAAAAACUAACAAUAAGAAUGCAAAACUAAAAGCAUUUUCAAACCAUCUCAAUGACUACUAAAAUUCUUAGAAUCUGAAAGAAGUUUAACUGCCAAAAUUUUUAUUACAAGCAGAGUUUCAGAAAAAGAAAGGAAAUAAGCAUUAGCAAAAAAAAAAAAAAAAAAAANNNNNNNNNNNNNNNNNNNNNNNNNNNNNNNNNNNNNNNNNAAAAAAAAGGAAAAAAACAUUAAAAAAAAAAAAAAAAAAAAAACGUGUUGAAAGUCUGUUCUAGCAUUUAAAUCACCCAAAUGUCAUAAUUUGAAAUUGAGAUAGAUAAUUCCAUUAAUAUAAUGUCAAAAUACCUUCAUUCCUUCCAUUAUUAUACUAGCAGAAAAAAGAUUAAGACAAAGAGAGAUUGAACCUUAGCCAUUGCUGAAAAUUCUUCAAAAAUGAACUAAGUAAGACGUUGACCGGAUUAGAAACCACGCUGACGACCUCAUCAACCCAAAAGCUUCACCGGAUAAACUCGAACAUCUUGAACCCAAUUUGAAAUUCUAGCUAACUAGUUCAAUGGCGGAGUAGAGUUAUCAGAUUGUCAGACUCGGAGUAACUAGUAGCUAGCGCCGACGGAGAACAACAGAUUAAUGAGGAAUUGGGGAUGGAUAUGUUUUACUUUCAUUUUUAGAGAUUACAUUUUCUUAAUUGUUGUUUUGUAGAGAUUUGUUUAUUCGUAAUUUUUUAUUAUAAAGCAAGAAUGAGGGAUUGAGG
rnacentral:lncRNA from 1 species